CUUUUCUAUGGAAGCUUGCUUCCACUGAGAAGAUAGUGGCGGACGGGUGAGUAACACGUGGGUAACCUGCCCAUAAGAGGGGGAUAACAUCCGGAAACGGGUGCUAAUACCGCAUAGUUUUCUUGAUCGCAUGAUUGAGAAAGGAAAGACGGCCUUUGUGCUGUCGCUUAUGGAUGGACCCGCGGCGUAUUAGUUAGUUGGUGAGGUAACGGCUCACCAAGACGAUGAUACGUAGCCGACCUGAGAGGGUGAUCGGCCACAUUGGGACUGAGACACGGCCCAAACUCCUACGGGAGGCAGCAGUAGGGAAUCUUCCGCAAUGGACGAAAGUCUGACGGAGCAACGCCGCGUGAGUGAAGAAGGUUUUCGGAUCGUAAAACUCUGUUGUCAGAGAAGAACAAGUCGGAGAGUAACUGCUCCGGCCUUGACGGUAUCUGACCAGAAAGCCACGGCUAACUACGUGCCAGCAGCCGCGGUAAUACGUAGGUGGCAAGCGUUGUCCGGAUUUAUUGGGCGUAAAGCGAGCGCAGGCGGUUCCUUAAGUCUGAUGUGAAAGCCCACGGCUCAACCGUGGAAGGUCAUUGGAAACUGGGGAACUUGAGUACAGAAGAGGAGAGUGGAAUUCCAUGUGUAGCG
rnacentral:rRNA from 1 species